UGGGCUUGACAUGUCCGGAAUUCUGCAGAGAUGCGGGAGUGCCCUUCGGGAGCUCUGAGAC
rnacentral:rRNA from 1 species